rnacentral:misc_RNA from 1 species
AUAAGCAAGAGAAUCCCAUUUUUCUCCGACUGCGAAAUCUGGUGAAGUUUGUUCCAUAUAAAUCUUGGUAAAGCUAGGAGCAUAUCCUUUAACAAAGUCGAAUCGCCAUCCGUCGAAUCCAAUUUCAGUUUUUAGCCAAUUCAUCCAAUCUGAUAAUUCUUUCUGAACUGUGGGAUUGACAUGAUCAAUAUCAGGGGCACCUCCAAAGUCCUCUCCAGUGUCAGGAUUUCCCUGACCAUCAGAAUAGGCAGUGUCGUCUCUGCAAAUGAAGGAAGGACCCCAGUCGAGUUUGCCAUCAGGAGUUCCACCUUCAAAGAUGCAAUAUAUUCCUCUACCAUCUUGCUUCUCAGCAGUUCUGUGGUUUAUCACAAUGUCAGCCAGGCACUUGAUUCCCUUCUGAUGGAAAGCCUCUAUUAGAGAUUUCAGUUCAUCUUGGGAUCCAUAUUUCGACGCACUAAGAUCAUAGAGUCUGCCUGGCAUAUAUCCUUGAGGUGCAACUGAUUGGGAGGGAGGAGGAAGCCAAACAUGAGUAAUUCCAGCAUUGGCCAGAUCAGGAAUGGAGUCCUUCAGAGAGUUGUACCAUCCUCCUGCCUUGUUACAUGACUCCCAAUUGAACCCCUGAAAUAAUAUUGCAGACGAUAUGAAAGAAGGGAAGACAGAAAGGAGGAAGGAUAGGAAGAAGAGUGAAGCGAGAAAGUUCAUAUUCUCUUUCUGAU